AAAAAAUCCCUGUUGUUGUACACUAUAGAUUGACUUGCAUUCAUUAGGUAUGUUGAUUGUAGUGACUUCAAAUAUGUCUUAAAACAGUGCUUCUUAUUCCAUUGUUCUGGAUCCAAAUUUGGGUCUUUACACAACUUACUUGGUUGAAACACACAUAAUAUUCAAUAUCCACCUAGCAAAUGCCCACAAUCAUUUGUCGGCUCUAGUGGCAUUGCAGUCCCCAGUUAACUGGCGACUCCAUGGACCAUAGGAAUUAAGUGGAAGAAUUACUAAUUGAAAAUUACACGCAAAAAUAAAACCUUACAAAUAAUCUAUUGAUUUAUCAAUUUAUUAGCCUAUUUAAUUUGAUACAUCAUUUUCUACAUCAGUACUGCCCGAGUACCCGACAAACAGAGAGGACAAAUUGAAACACUGUUUAAUUUCUUCUCUGUAUGCUUUAUCUAUACCAGGCAUAGGUAACUUUCAGCACUCCAGAUGUUUUGGACUACACCUCCCAUGAUGCACUGCCAGCAUUGUGGGUGUAAGAGCAUUAUGGGGGAUGUAGAAUACAUCAUCUGGAGUGCCGAACGUUGCCUAUCCCUGGUCUAUACUGACUUCUUGGUGGAAAGGACAGAGCUUCUAAAAAUGAUUGACAGGGAGCCAAGAUGGAGGUGCAAAGUUGCUUGAUAUAGGUGUGGAUUUUAAAAUUUUAAGUUUUUUUUCUCAUCAAAAUACAUAUUUGUUAAAUAUAGGAGAAGAGUAAACAUGGUAUUAAAAAAUCAUGGGCUCUUACAGUUCCACUUUAAGUUGUUUAGAAACAUAAUUGUUACUACAUUAACACUAUGAGUUACAUUGGAUAUUACCCUAAAGAAGGUGUUUCCAAGCUAAUGUAAAGUACAUAAUGUGUCGGUAGUAAAAAAAAAAUAAAAAAAAAUUAGCACUACAAAAAAAGCAUGUCAUAUAAAUGUUAGACUAAGAUCACCUCCUCCUAUUCUUUCUGAAUAGAAUUAAUGAUGGGAAAAUGCUGCCUGAGAAUGGAUAUCCAAAAUUGCUUUGAUUUUGAUAGCAUUUAAACUAUUUGUGAAACACUGUGUGUGGAUGCAAAUAGAGGGUGUUCAUGUCAUAAAAAAACUUGUGAAUGACACUGCAUUUAUAUACAAAGAUUAGUAAUCUGAACUAUGUUCAGCAAACCCUCCUUCAGGAUUUUGUUGUAUCUUAUUAACUAUGGGGAAUUAUUAUUCAAAAUUCUGCAUUUUUUUUAUUAUUACUAAAUGGACUAUGACUUUGUCUCCUAAAAUCAGCAUUUCCAACGAUAAAAGAAAAAGAAAGAAAAUAACUAUUUUUGGAGUUAAUUCGAUAUUCAUGGAAUUGUAGCUAUUUGAAUGCAAACCUUCAAAUUUCAGGCUAAAAGAGCGUAACAGUAUUAUAAUGGAGUUCAAAAUUUGUACAUACGCACCACUUUUUGCCUACAUCUAGUAAUUCAAUUUUCAAUACACUAUAUAUAAUUCCAUUAUUAUUGAAUUUAUUUUCAUGAUGCUUGGUAGAUUUCAAUAAUAUGUAUCCUUUUACAAACCUGGGACUCUUUAUGCUAUUGUGCUUAGCAUACUGUCCAUCCUAUAAUAUUUACCAAUACCAGAAUGCAUCGGACCUUGUUCUUUGCUGAUUGGAUAUCGAGGGUGCAUUGGGGAAGGCAGAGGGGCUUAUUUUAUCAUCUGUGCUAUCUAUACUAUUGUGAGCUCCAAAGAAG